AGUGAACGCUGGCGGUAGGCCUAACACAUGCAAGUCGAACGGCAGCACAGUAAGAGCUUGCUCUUACGGGUGGCGAGUGGCGGACGGGUGAGGAAUACAUCGGAAUCUACUUUUUCGUGGGGGAUAACGUAGGGAAACUUACGCUAAUACCGCAUACGACCUACGGGUGAAAGCAGGGGAUCUUCGGACCUUGCGCGAUUGAAUGAGCCGAUGUCGGAUUAGCUUGUUGGCGGGGUAAAGGCCCACCAAGGCGACGAUCCGUAGCUGGUCUGAGAGGGUGAUCGGCCACACUGGAACUGAGACAGGGUCCAGACUCAUACGGGAGGCAGCAGUGGGGGAGAUGGGACAAGGAGCGCAAGCCUGAUCCAGCCAUACCGCGGGGGUGAGGAAGGCCUUCGGGUUGUAAAGCCCUUUUGUUGGGAAAGAAAAGCAGCAGAUGAAUACCGCGCGUUUCUGACGGUACCCAAAGAAUAAGCACCGGCUAACUACGUG
rnacentral:rRNA from 1 species